rnacentral:rRNA from 1 species
UACGUAGGUGGCAAGCGUUGUCCGGAUUUACUGGGCGUAAAGAGCGCGCAGGCGGUCGUUCAAGUCGCGUGUGAAAGCCCCCGGCUCAACUGGGGAGGGUCACGCGAUACUGAUCGACUCGAAGGCAGGAGAGGGUAGUGGAAUUCCCGGUGUAGUGGUGAAAUGCGUAGAUAUCGAGAGGAACACCGGUGGCGAAGGCGGCAUCCUGGACCAACACUGACACUGAGGAGCGAAAGCCAGGGGAGCAAACGGG